UGAAAUCAAAAUAGUUUUUUGGCUUUUAGUAUGAAAAUGUUUUGCCAUACUGUUUGACAAUUCACAUUUAGAAGAUAUAAUUAAGCGCUCAAAGCUUGGUCCCCUUCGGCUAAUAUGAUCAAUGAUUUUGAUGACGUCACUGCAGAUCAGACUUUCUGUCCAAUCAAACAUAUAUAUAUAUAUAUAUACAUUUUUAGGGUGCAGCCCUUCUCUCUCUCACCCUCAUUACACUCAUGUGUUCGUGACUGACCCAGUGUGUGUGCGAAAAUAUGAAUGAGGUAUGAGUGAGUGUGAAAGGGAGGGAGGGAUGGAGCGACUGCAUCGUGAAACGAGGAGGACUCACUCACAGACUGCACACCUUCACGGACACACAGGAAACUCAGGCUCAAGCGUCUGUGUGUUCACACGGUUAAAUCAUGGAUCAGAAGUCCACUUCACCUCAGAGACACGCGGUGAAAAGCAGGUCAAAGUCUACAGAGGAAGUCCAUGAAGCUAAAAAGGCCUUCCGCAUCCCUCAGAAAUCCCUGCCUGGAGGAUCAGAACUGGAGAAGGUGAAGGAGGGACCAGAAGAAAAUGUGACUCCAGCGUCAUCCACAGAAAAGCUGAAAUGAUGACACACACACACACACACACACGCACACACACACAAAUGCUUGGUUUUUAUAAACAAGGUUGGUAUGGUACGGUGAGAGCAUGAACUCUUCCUUCAGCUGGAUCCCGUCUGUCACAGCUUUUUAUUGAAAGAUGAACCAAAAUACUCUUUUUACAGGAGCAAUAUAUUUUUGUUUAAAGUUUAGUUUUAAUGAAUUAAUUUUAUUUCAUUUUUAAGUUGAAUUAAAUGCAUUCAGUUAAACCGCUUGUAUACUGUAUUAUAAAUCAUUGCAUUAUACUUUAAUGUUUAAUGGGUUUAGACACUUCAAGAACAGUUCAUAGUUUGUAACUGGUACCUUGUCCAAAAAAUAAAGAAAAACAUUGAACAUUAAGGUCUCAUUUUGUUAAUUUGAGUUAAUGCAUUAACUAACAUGAACGAACCAUGAGCAAUGUUGACUGUUUAUUAAUCUUUAAUGUUAGUUAAUAAACAUGUUCAUGUUAGUUCACAGUGCUUUAACUAAUGUUUUGACCCUUAUAAUAUUUUGGUAAUUCUGAAGUUAUUAAAUGAGACCUUUACUGUAAAGUGUCACCGGUACAUUUUCUUGGUGUUUCGGCUUGUGUUGUUGAUGCCACUCCAGCUCUCUCGUGUCAAAUAGUGUCAAACGUUUAUUCUUUUACUUAUUUAUUGGCAUCAGCUGAGAUUACAGAGCUGACUUACUGUAUGACUCAGCUGAGAUGUUGUGUAAGUGCUUACAGUAUUACUAAUAAACUGCUCAUCAUGCUGAAGUUCA